GGCAGGGUAGCCGGGGUCACCCGGGCCGAGUCCCAGCCUGGCUAACGGACCCCGGGCCCUGCUGGGCCACCGUCUCCUGUCUUGACAACACCCCCACGCCCCCUACCCCACACCCGACAUGCACCUCAGAGGGUUCCUGUGAGGCCCAACAGAGAAGGAAAGCAAGCGCCUGUGAAGCCCCUAACCUGUGCCUGGCCCUCAGUCAACGCAAGAGACUGUUAGGUGUUUUUUGUUUUUGUUUUUGUUUUUUUUUUGAAAGCCGGAAAGCUGUCGAAGUGCAAAUGGUGGUUACUCUCAAGAGUAACUUGUGACCACGUCGGAAGAGGAGAUGGAGCGGAGGAGGCCUGGCUUAGGGUCCCUUUGAGAAGAUGGGAGUUUUGGGACGGUGGGCACCCAAACCUGACAUUUAUCCCUGUGAAGCCAUGUUACGUAAACUCCGGUGUUCCCUCCUCCGCGGAUACGGCCACCUUCUGCCCGUUUAAUAGGCAAUACUCUCUCCAAAGAGUAUUCUCCAGGAGCCUUGAUUCAGUCAGGCAAAAGAUUCGAGAGAGCCUCCAACGGAGUGAACCGGCUUUAUCGCUGCUUGAAUGAGACACCGAGCUCCCAUUCCCCUCUGCAGGAGAGUCACAGGAGGAGGCUGGGGAAGGAGGUCCACACCAUGCAAGAGGCUCAGAAAGAAUAGGACUUGGGGCGUAGGGGAGAUGAACCCCCAAGCUCCAUCCACUCAUGAGCAAGGAAAGGCAAAGAGAAAGUGGCUUCUUGCCUUUGUUCUUAAUGGCAAAGAUGGAGCUGCAAGAGCCUGGCAAGGAAAAGAGGGGUGGAAAAGCGUUCACAGGACCACAGAAACCAGCUAAACGCUUUGUGUCCUGUCCUGUUUGGGAAAUAGGAGACUUCACCCCUUCUGCUCCAUGAAGUUUUGCUGCGGAAAGGAAAGACUGUGAUCUCACCUCCAGAUCGGUAGGCUUCUGCCAGGAGCAUGUUGCUGACGAGGAAUGCCUGCACCCAGGCCAGCAACAUCCUUGCCUCCUUCGUCUUGCAGGGGAUUGAACGACCAGUGUCCAACCGGGGCCUCCUUGGCAGCGGCUCUGCCUUCCAGUCCCAGCCUUGCAGUCAGACCUACCCUUGUUAUGCUCUUCGGGUAAACAGCCUCUUUUUAGAACUGGGAGCUUCCCAGCUAGCUUGCUGCAGCGAGAACUGUUUUUCAGCUGAAAGGCGCCCCCUGGGUCCUAAGCCUCCUAGGCUAUGCAACAUCUAACUCUGAGCCAAGAAAGGAACUCAGCCAAGAAGAGAGGCGGAGAAGUGCACGUUGCGCUUAGCAGCCGAUGAUUUUGAGACCUGCGAGGCCACAUCCCCAGGGUUUUUCAUCUCUUCUGUUUCCAUUUGUCAUUUCCCAACAGUCCCCAAAUGGCUGUUUCCGUGGGGACAGAGCAGCUGCCUCAUUUCCCUUCAGGCCCCAUGGGCUGCUGGUCAACCUCAGGAUCUACUAAAGAUGACGCAAACGCCGACUGAACAAUCUGAAACCCAAAGGACUCAAGGAGAGACAUGUUCUGCUGAGGAGAAAAAGAUCAAAUGGUAACCCACUGAAGACUACCUUGUGCUAGAAUGGAACUGCCCCUGCCAUCUCUCUUUAACAGAAGCACAUCCUGAGAACCUGAGAGCUCAAGGUAAGAGUCUGAACA